ACUAGUUUAAAUAUCAAAGGAUGCUACACUAAUGUGACUGUUCUCUCAUUGAUUCAGUUUUUCCAGAAAAACCCUUUCAGUUUGUAGAACGAGAAAAUGAAAAUGAAGAUAGGGAAAAUGAAGAUAGGAAAGAUCAAGAAGAACAAGGAAAGGAAAAGGAUUGUGUUUGUGUGACAAGAUGUCAAAAAAAUACUACAAGCUCGAAUUAUUUCCGAGCUCGAAUUACUACCACCUUAUUUCCGAGCUCGAAUUACUACCACCUUCUACUCUUGAUGACCAUCUACCUAAUGAGGGAGUCGAGUUAUUGAAAGAGGCCGAAAGGGAAAGAGCUAGCAAUGGAUACUAAGCAUAAAUGUACACCUAGAGAUGGUCAUCAUCAUGGUGCUACAAAGAAGAUGCCCAAGGAGCAUAGUGAGCUAAAUGGAGAAGAAAUGUAGAUCUAACAAUGAGACGGUCGAGGCUCUUGUUUGUUUUAGGCAAUUUUGGGAUUUCUAGUAACGUUUGAAUUUGUUUCUAUGGAUUUUAAUUUAUGUACUUUUGUCAUUAAAAACACUAAAUUAAUUAGUGAACAACUAUUUUGUAAUGCAUGUGUUCUAUAUGGGCACUAAUAUAUAUUGUAAUAUUACUCUUUAAGUAAAUGAAAAUCUUUUGUUAUUGGCCUCCA